UAGGGAAUCUUCCACAAUGGACGAAAGUCUGAUGGAGCAACGCCGCGUGAGUGAAGAAGGGUUUCGGCUCGUAAACUCUGUUGUUAAGAAGAACAUAUCUGAGAGUAACUGUUCAGGUAUUGACGGUAUUUAACCAGAAGGGAACGGCUAAUACGUGCCAG
rnacentral:rRNA from 1 species